GAUGAACGCUGGCGGCGUGCCUAAUACAUGCAAGUCGAGCGAACGGACGAGAAGCUUGCUUCUCUGAUGUUAGCGGCGGACGGGUGAGUAACACGUGGAUAACCUACCUAUAAGACUGGGAUAACUUCGGGAAACCGUAGCUAAUACCGGAUAAUAUUUUGAACCGCAUGGUUCAAAAGUGAAAGACGGUCUUGCUGUCACUUAUAGAUGGAUCCGCGCUGCAUUAGCUAGUUGGUAAGGUAACGGCUUACCAAGGCAACGAUGCAUAGCCGACCUGAGAGGGUGAGCGGCCACACUGACACUGAGACACGGUCCAGACUCCUACGGGAGGCAGCAGUAGGGAAUCUUCCGCAAUGGGCGAAAGCCUGACGGAGCAACGCCGCGUGAGUGAUGAAGGUCUUCGGAUCGUAAAACUCUGUUAUUAGGGAAGAACAUAUGUGUAAGUAACUGUGCACAUCUUGACGGUACCUAAUCAGAAAGCCACGGCUAACUACGUG
rnacentral:rRNA from 1 species